rnacentral:lncRNA from 1 species
GCUCGUCUGGCUCUGAGGGACUUGGACAGCCCAAGUUUGUCUUGGACCAGUUCGAUGAGCUACCAGACAGGAGAGACACAUUUGCUGCCUCCCAAUGCUCGGAGAUCAUCGCACAGGAAGCAGCAGGAUGCUGGGGCAGGCUUGCCCAGUGAUGACCUGAACCAGGGACCACAAGGAACCAAGAGCUGCCAGAAGACAAAAGAGCUCAGAGGGAUGGAGGCCAGGGGAAAACUGAGAUGUGGGAGUAGGAAGACAACUCCACCCCACCACCACUAAAUACAGGAGCACGUGACCCUUAAGAAGACCGGG